CCAAACAGUGUUCUAAAAUUCACUCUUUUGAAAGAAACACAAGAAUAAGGAAAUAAACAAAAAAUAAAAAAAUCUAGCAUCUACUCGCAAUCCUCUUGCGGAUCGUGCUCUGGAAUCUGGUUCUUUUGAUAUAAAAUGAUUAAAUAAGAGAUAAACUACACUAUCCCAGUAAGAACAUCACACUAUAUCACCGACAUAGAAAUAAACAUUGGUAGAAAAUCAAAAAUACUAAUGGAGCACUAAAUUUAAACCAAUACAUUUAUUAAAAAUAAAAUCAUUUACCGUUCACUUACCGUAGUGGGAUUCAUAAAAACAAUCUAUACAGACAAUAAUAUUACACAGAUCAUAAUUCCAUGUAUAAUCAGCGAUUGUAGCACAUAUUAUAAAUCUAUAUCCAUCAUCAAUAAAUCAAACAAUAACUGUCACUCUUUUUAUCAGCUUGCUGGUAUCCAUAAGGGUUCAUAGAGAUAUUCCAGCUGUACGUGAACCCUUUCAUUUAACAUUCUCAAUUACGGGCCGUCUCCAUACCCCGUCCCGUAUGAGUGCCAAUUUACCAAACCUCAAUAUCCACUCCGGUAUGAGGGUGAAGCAAGUCGUCCUCAUACCCCGUCCAGUAUGAGCGCCAGAUUAUAAAGUCUCCCUACCUCGUCCGGUAUGAGACAACGUUCACGGUAGGGUUCUCUAUGUACCCGGUCCGUCCACCAUCUCUUAGGAUAUCCAGUAAGGCAGUCGUUUCAUCUAUUCAUUUCAUCACACAAUUUUUACCGUUUAACCUUUGUUUUUUCCGAUUCAGUAGUAAACACAGAAUAAACUAUACAUGCAUUCAAAACCAUAAAAUCAAUUAAUAAGAUACCAUCAUGCAUAUAAACUGUAAAAACAAUCAACAAUAACAGUAGAUAAUUUUCGAUUUUGGCUCCAUUAGCAAUCCGUAAUUAAUUAUGCACAUUUUCUAAAUUCACACAAAUAUUAUAUUAUUAUUUAUUUAAAUUUCAAUUCUAUGAUAGAGAAUAAGGUGAGGGAUCCUUACUCGAUUUGAUAUCCAAAAAGCUAAGCUAUUCGACUGCGUCUACGGGCAAUUUUUGGGUUCUCUAAAUUUUUCUUUAGAAUUAAAACGCGCUAAUAGUACAUACAAAUAUUCUAAAUAAACCCAAAAUCAGUCCCAGGGCUCACUUGGCCAAUUUUAAAAUUCCGACACGGCAGUGAUUCGCCUCGGGUUGGCUAUUUUUGGCCCUUUUUGGCUGAAUUCGGCCGAUUCUGCAUCGAUCCUUACGAGAAAAUACAUUAAAGGGUCUCGAUUGGCUGAAAAAAUACAAAAAAUUGAAACUCAUCAGCGGCGGGGCUCUCUAGUGCGGCGGCUCCUCCGGCUCAUGUUGGGUUGGGUGUUUUGCUCUAGUAAAUCUGUAGAGAAGGAAACGGUGAUCACAAUGGUAGAAAAAUUACACAUAACGGGAAUCAAGAAGGACCUCAUCGGAGGCGUUUUGUGAAAUUCUCUGCGGCGGUGCCGCCGACAUUUUCUGGCCAAUUGGCUGGUCUUUUUGCUCUGAUUUGGUCAUGGGUGUGCUUAAAAAUUGAAUUUCGAGCAAAAUGAGAAAUUUUCACAUUUUUUGGUGGUUGAAAAAAGCUUCGGUGCAGUGGUAGGUGGUGGUGGCGUCCUUCCGGUAGCUGGAUCUUCUUCUCCAAUGAAGGGGUCUGGCGGUUAGGGUUAGGAGUUGGUGUGGAUGGGGGUGUAAACAAAGUUUUCAAGAACUAAAGAAACGAUUGACAACGACUCCAGUAUUGACUAUUGCUAAUGGUACUGGUAGAUUAUCUAUCUAUAGUGAUGUUUCAAAGCAAUUGUUGGGAUGCAUGCUAAUGCAACAUAAAAAAGUGAUAGCUUCUAGUUCCAUACAAUUAAAGAAUCAUGAGCAGAACUAUCCUACCAAUGACUUAGAACUAGCCGCCAUAAUUUUUGUCUUAAAGAUCUAACAUCAUUAUCUAUAUGGUGAAAGUUUUGAGAUUCAUACAGACCAUAAGAGUUUGAAAUAUUUGUUCUCGUAAAAAAACUUAAUAUUCGCCAAAGGAGAUGGAUGAAAUUACUUAAGAAUUAUGAUUACAAGAUCCUAUACUAUCUGGAAAAAAGUAAUAUGGUUGCAGAUGCACUUAGUUGGAAGAGUACUUGCACUAUUGCCUACAUAAUGGCCACAUAGUGGAGACUCAUAGAGAAGUUCUAGAAAUUGAAUAUGAAUAUCCGACAUAAAAGAUCAGGAGGAUACCUAACCAAUAUAAAAGUACAACCCAUUUUGAUGCAGAAAAUUAGACAAGCUCAGUAGUUUAAUCUUAACUUGAAGUCGAUUAUGGAAGAUGUCAGUAAGGGACUUAGGCCGUAAUUUAAACUAUUGGAAGAUGGGGUAUUAAGGUUUGGAAACAAAACAUGUGUGUCGAAUAAUAAUAGUCUAAAAAAUGAGAUAUUAGAAGAAGUGCACUACUCUAAAUUUGUUAUGCACCCUGAUGAAACUAAUAUGUAUCAUAACUUGAAGACCAAAUAUCGAUGAAGUGGGAUGAAGAAGGAUAUAGCAGAGUUUGUUUCUAAAUAUCUAAUAUGCCAACAAGUGAAGGAUGAACGUCAGAAACCAGCAGGACUACUUCAACCCUUGCCGGUAGCAGAGUGGAAAUGAGAACAUAUUACUAUGGAGUUCGUAAUGGGUCUACCUAAAAUAAGAUCCCAACAUGAUGCUAUAUGGAUUAUCGUUGAUAGAUUAACCAAGUCUGCUAAUUUUUUUUGCUAUCAAAGUAAAUGACCCACUGGACAAGUUGGUCAGACUUUAUAUCAAGGAGAUUGUGAGAUUGCAUGGAAUUUCAGUGACAAUCGUCUUUGAUCAAGAUUCCCACUUUACUUUAAGAUUUUAGACCAGUCUACAGCUAUGGGAACCAAGCUAUCUUUUAGUACAACUUUUCGUCCUCAAACAAAUGGUCAAUCAGAAUGGACAAUUCAAACUCUAGAAGAUAUGCUAUGAGUCUAUGUCAUUGAGUUAUGAGGUAAUUGGGACGAUUAUUUACCUUUGAUUGAGUUCGCAUAUAAAAAUUGUUAUCAGUCCAGCAUUCAAAUGGCACCUUAUGAGGCUUUGUAUGGAAGACCCUACAGAUCACCUAUUUGUUGGAAAGAAGUUGGAGAACAAAAACCAGUUGGUCCUGAAUUAGUGGAAGAAACUACAGGGAAAGUGAAAUUGAUUCGAAAACAUCUUUUGACAACUCAAAAUAAACAGAAAAAUUAUGUCAAUAAUCGAAGAAGAGAUUUAGAAUUUGAAGUAGGCGACGAUGUAUUUAUGAAAAUCUUACCAAUUAAAGGAAUUAUAAGAUUUGGAAAGAAAGGAAAACUCAGUCCUCGAUGUAUUGGACCUUUUGAGAUAUUGGAUAGAGUGGGAGCUGUUGCUCACUGUUAAGCAUUGCCAUUUAAGUUAGCUAAUAUAAACAAUGUCUUUCAUGUGUCAAUGUUGAAGAAAUAUUACCCAGAUCCAUCGUAUGUACUCCGAUAUGAACCCCUUGCACUUCAGGAUAACUUAUCCUACAUUGAGCUUCAUGUGCAGAUAGUGGAUUGUAAAGAAAAGAUAUUAUGGUUUAAGGUAAUCUCUUUAGUAAAUGUACUAUGGCAGCACCAUUCGACUGAAGAAGCCACAUGGGAGCCAGAAAAGGAAAUGAAGGCUAAAUACCCAUAUCUGUUUAUGACUACUGAUAAGUCUAAUUGGGAUGACCAAAUUUUUUUUUUAAGGGGGGAGGAUGUGAUAGUUUGAAAGUACCUCCGAGUUAAUUUCUUAUAUUUGAUAUAUUUAAUUUACCUUUACAUGUGUUUGAAAAUAUAUAAUAAGGUUAAAUAUAUAGUUUGGAGUCAAAUGGAAAAAUGAUGGAUAAGGAUGAAAGAGCUAAAAUAAGCAUGAAGAGGUAUGAGAAAAGGUAAGAACCUUUUAAAUGAAAUGGUAUAAUGAAAAGUGGUAACUAUUAGAUAAAAUAACAUAAUGAAAAAUGACAAUUUUUAGAUGAAGUAACAUCACAAAAAGUGACAACUUUUAGAUGAAGUGACAUGUGAAAAGUGGUAAUCUUUUAGAUAAAAUGACAUGUAAAAAAAAAUUUAGAUAAAACGACAUGUAAAGAAUGGUAUCUUUUAAGUGAAGUGACAUGAUAAAAUGUGAUAACUUUUAGAUGAAAUAGUAUAACGGAAUGGUGGCAACCUUUCCCUUGUUGCUCCCCACUCCUAUAAAUAGCGGAUAAGAGAAGGGAGGAAGAUACAUUCCGGAUAAGAGAAAAAUAGUAAAAAAUAUAGAGGUGAAGGAAGAAGAUGGAGUACGAAGUGUGUGAUAUUUGAAAGUAUUUUAAGAUUUUAGACAAAAACCUUGAGAAAACUCUGCUAAAUUUGUGAGAUCAGAGAAAGAAGAAAAGAAGAAGAAUAAGGAUCACAAUCAAAAGAAAGUUAUAAACCAUUAGAAAUGUAAGCUUUUUCUUAAGUUUUGAAGUUGAGUUUCUCUUUGAUUUUUGAGAUUAGUUUUUGAGUAUUGUGUUGGAUAUUUUUAAGUCAAGAAAGUGACCAAAAAUUAUCUUGAAACUCUACCGAAUUUUUUAGAGAAAAAAUUGAUAAAUAAAGCCAAGACUUUGCCAGAAUUAAAACUACGAUUACUAAGGACCUAAGGUAAGUGAAUAUUAUAAAUUCAUAACCUACGUAGUUUUGAAGUAUUUUGCAUAUUUUCAGUAUAAAAAUACGUACGUGUUUUAUUUAUCUUUCGUGUUCUCUAAAUAAGUAUUUGUUAAAGUUUUACUUCGAUAUAAGUAUUAUUUUACUUUGUAUUUUCGAAAUGUGAUUUUGAUAUGUGUGCAUCACUCAUUAUGAAAAGAAAUUAUUCCGAAAGUACCUGCAAUAUGCUAGACUUCAAUCUGGCUGUACAUAACUGGUCCGUGUUCGGAUGUAUUGGCAAAGUGAUAAGUGUACCCAUAGAUAACCGUUUUGUGUUCGGAUGUAUGGAGAACCAGUCUGAUCUGCGUGCCCUAACCAUCCGUGUUCAGGGAGUAGUAGUGUUUUAAGGUAUUCAUGUAUGUCAUUCCGUAUUCGGGUACAUGUGGAACCAGUGAUAAGUAUAUAUACCUACGCAUAAUGUUUGAUAACUAAUUGAUCCUUCAGAACAGUGAUAAAGUAUACAACAUGAAUCUGUUUUCUGAUUCGCAUAUAUUUUAAAAAAUAUUAUAUGAUAUAUAUUUGUUGUAUGUAAAAAAAUUAUAUAUUGCAUAUAUUAUACUGUGAUUUUAUAAUAUUAUUUAUUAGAAUAUUUUAUCUCACCCGCCUAUCAUCCUUAAGAUAAUGAAAAAACCACUAUAGAGUAAGCGGUGAUACAGAAAAAUUUUUUGAAGUAUAAACUCUGAUAUUAAAAUUACUAUUUCGUACUUUUGUUUAAUAAUGUAAGUAAGAAAAUUUAGAAACUUGUACAUAUGUUUAUGUUUUAUAUUUAAGAGAUAUAACGUUUCUGCAACUAUUUUAUUAUUAAUAAAAUUAAAUUAUUUUACUUAACUCGAGUUUAUAUAAUUUAAGAAAAUAUGCUCCGGUUAUUUUACUAUAAAAUGGGAUAUGGUCCCUGACACAAAAUCUUUGUACGAAGCCAAAAUGUUAGGCAACAUAAACAGCAAAUUUAAAGACCAAAAGGCAAGAAUUGGAGAUUGGAUCUCCAUAACCAGAAAUUCUAGACUCAACAAUCUAAUAAUGAACAAAGUCUUGAGUAUGAACUAUAUCACAACAAAAAAAAAAAAAAGAUUAAAAACUGCUCUAAAAAAAUAAAGAAUUGAUCUGAGUAGAUGAUUGAAGCAAUGAGCAAAUGUAGCGGACUGACAACGAAAAACUAACCUGAAGAAGAAAUGAAAGAACUUAAUGGAUUCAACUCACCUAAAAACCAAGUCGUCAACUUUCACAAACAUGAGUGCCUCUAUAUUCUCUCUGAAUUCUGCAGCUUCCACAUGGGUGCUUUCCUGGCUGAAUCAGUGAACCUUGCUUUCCAAUGCCCAUGGAGAAACGAUGGCGGGUUCAGCUCCAC
rnacentral:lncRNA from 1 species